rnacentral:rRNA from 1 species
UCGGGAAUUUUGGGCAAUGGGCGCAAGCCUGAUCCAGCCAUGCCGCGUGAGUGAAGAAGGCCUUAGGGUUGUAAAGCACUUUCGGUGGGAACGAAAUAUGCCGGGUUAAUACCCCGGUAGGCUGACGUUACUCAAUGAAGAAGCACCGGCUAACUCUGUGCCAGCAGCCGCGGUAAUACAGAGGGUGCGAGCGUUAAUCGGAAUUACUGGGCGUAAAGCGCACGUAGGUGGCGACGUAAGUCGGGUGUGAAAGCCCCGGGCUCAACCUGGGAAUUGCAUUCGAGACUGCAUUGCUGGAGUACGGAAGAGGAGGGCGGAAUUCCCGGUGUAGCAGUGAAAUGCGUAGAUAUGUGGAGGAACACCGAUGGCGAAGGCAGCCCCCUGGGCCUGCACUGACGCUCAUGCACGAAAGCGUGGGGAGCAAACAGGAUUAGAUACCCACGUAGUCCCUGAGCGGGCUGGCAAGGCGCAU